rnacentral:rRNA from 1 species
AGCAGCCGCGGUAAUUCCAGCUCCAAUAGCGUAUAUUAAAGUUGUUGCAGUUAAAAAGCUCGUAGUUGAAUUUCGGGAUUGACGUGAUGGUCGUGCCUUAAGGGGUAUGAACUGUUGCUGUUGAUUUCUCACCUUCUGGAGAAACUUGAUGUCCUUAAUUGGGUGUCUUGCGGAUCCAGGACCUUUACCUUGAAAAAUUAGAGUGUUUAAAGCAGGCAUUUUGCUCGAAUACAUUAGCAUGGAAUAAUAGAAUAGGACGGCAUGGUUCUAUUUUGUUGGUUUCUAGGAUCACCGUAAUGAUUAAUAGGGAUAGUUGGGGGCAUUAGUAUUCAAUUGUCAGAGGUGAAAUUCUUGGAUUUAUUGAAGACUAACUACUGCGAAAGCAUUUGCCAAGGAUGUUUUCAUUAAUCAAGAACGAAAGUUAGGGGAUCGAAGACGAUCAGAUACCGU